rnacentral:rRNA from 1 species
UACGUAGGGGGCAAGCGUUGUCCGGAUUCAUUGGGCGUAAAGAGCGUGUAGGCGGCCAGGUAGGUCGGUUGUGAAAACUGGAGGCUCAACCUUCAGACGUCGACCGAAACCAUCUGGCUAGAGUCCGGGAGAGGAGAGUGGAAUUCCUGGUGUAGCGGUGAAAUGCGCAGAUAUCAGGAAGAACACCCGUGGCGAAAGCGGCUCUCUGGAACGGUACUGACGCUGAGACGCGAAAGCAGUGGGAGCGAAGCAGG